CAAAGUAACAGAGAAUUAACUGACCAACCCAAGAUCAUCUGAUGAAUAAAGAGCAGAGUCAAGAUUUGAACCCCAAAGCAUCAGACUCAAGUUCAAGCUCUUAACCACUACCCUCUGUUAAAUGCUUUAGCUCCUGAGAUACAGUGUGGCAUCUGCAUCACCCUGGGAUUUAAACCUUGGCACCAUCCUCAGGCAAGCUGUUAAACACCUCUAACCUCAUCUGUCUCACCUGGAAAAUGGCAGCCACACCACCUGCCUGACAUGAGUGAGAGGGAAAGCACCUACCAGCCCAGCAGGUGCUCAGCAGAGCCCUAUUCCUUUGGCCAUGUUCUUUGGCCUCAAGCUUCUUGGAAGGGCUGCCAGGGAUAAGAAGCCAUGCGAGCAGCAGAUGCUGGGGAAGAAGGUCCCUGUCUUCAAGGAGCUCCUGGAUAACAGGCAAGAGUAGCCCAAAAUAUUCAGUGAUAUGAGUAACAAGUGGGACUGACAAGAGAGGGGCUGAGGGGACAGGGAACAGGGGCCCUACCUUGACUGUGUGUGGGUUCAGGGUGUCAAGGAUGCUUCAUUUCCAACCUGGAGACUAAAAGUCCAACAGGAAUUGGCCAGCUGAGGAGGUGGAGAGGACAGUCCCAUGCAGAAGAAGAGCAUGUGGAAGAGACAUGAGAGAGAGAGCUUGUGGAAAGAUGUUCUGGCAAUAGCUGGAGAGAUUGCUGGACCAGAGCGGGGAGGGAGCUGGUCUCUGGCAGACCCAGGAGGAUGCCCACCCUCUACCCUCUCUCUUGAGACAGUUGGAUGGUACCUGCUUAUUUAUCCCUGCCUCCUAAUUUACAACCAUCACACUAGCCAUCGAGGACAGGGGCUUUAGAACCUCAGGUGUAAUUAAGGAUGGAGAUGAAAUCAUACUGGAUGACGGUGGACCCUAAAUCCAAUGACAACGUCCUGAUGAGAGACAGGAUACAGAGGGACACUGAGGCAAAAGUCUUGUGGAGACAGAAGCAGAGACUGGAGGGCUGUCACACUCCAAGAACACCAACGAGUUUGCCAGUAGCCACCAGAAGCUAGGAGAAAGUCAUGAGUGGAUUCUCCCCCUGAGCCCUCAGAAGGAACCAACCUGGCCAGCAUUUUUAUUUCAGACUUCUGGCUUCCAGAACUGUGAGAAUAUAAAUUUCUGGGUUUU